UACAGAGGUCCCAAGCGUUGUUCGGAUUCAUUGGGCGUAAAGGGUGCGUAGGCGGCGCGGUAAGUCGGGUGUGAAAUCUCGGAGCUUAACUCCGAAACUGCAUUCGAUACUGCCGUGCUUGAGGACUGGAGAGGAGACUGGAAUUUACGGUGUAGCGGUGAAAUGCGUAGAUAUCUGGAGGAACACCGGUGGCGAAGGCGGCAUCCUGGACCGACACUGACGCUGAGGCGCGAAAGCUAGGGUAGCAAACGGG
rnacentral:rRNA from 1 species